rfam:Monodelphis domestica chrTn_v05.000344 genomic scaffold, whole genome shotgun sequence.
GGCUGGGUAGCUCAGUGGAUUGAGAGCCAAGCCUAGAGGUGGGAGGUCCCAGGUUCGAAUCCGGCCUCAGCCA